rnacentral:rRNA from 1 species
GACGAACGCUGGCGGCGUGCUUAACACAUGCAAGUCGAACGGAAAGGCCCUGCUUUUGUGGGGUGCGCGGGUGGCGAACGGGUGAGUAACCCGUGAGUAACCUGCCCUUGACGUUGGGUUAUCUUAAGAAAACUGGGGCUCUUCCGGGGUAGGAGUUCUUGCGCCUGGGGGGGGCUGGGAAAGUUUCGCUGGUUGGGGCGGGACCCGGGGAUGAACAGCUUGUGGGGGGGGUAGGGGAAUACCGAGGCAUGGACCGGUGGCCGAGCUGAGAGGGUGGCCGGCCCCGCUGGGACUGAGAUACGGCCCAGACUCGAACGGGAGGCAACAGUGGGGAGUAUUGCACAGUGGGCGGAAGCCUGGUGCGACAACGCCGCGUGCGGGAUGACGGCCUGCGGGUUGUAAACCGCUUUCGCCUGAGACGAGGCGUGAGUGACGGUAAUGGGUAAAGAAGCACCGGCUAACUACGUG